rnacentral:pre_miRNA from 1 species
UAAGGCUUAAGGGAGCUCUCUACAAGCCAAUUCUGAAAGGAAAUGAUGGCACAAUGCCACAGCUGCUAGUUCAUGGUCACCCCUGCCUCCGCACCAAUUUUCCGGCGCAGGCUAGGGUUUGCAUGAACUAGGAGACGUGGGUUGCCUUCAUCUUUUUGGUUUUGGUUUGAAGGGAGUUCCCUUUUGCUCUUUC